GACGAACCGAGCGAACGUUAUUCGGAAUCACUGGGCUUAAAGGGCGCGUAGGCGGUCGUUCAAGUCGCGUGUGAAAGCCCCCGGCUCAACUGGGGAGGGUCACGCGAUACUGAUCGACUCGAAGGCAGGAGAGGGUAGUGGAAUUCCCGGUGUAGUGGUGAAAUGCGUAGAUAUCGGGAGGAACACCAGUGGCGAAGGCGACUACCUGGCCUGUUCUUGACGCUGAGGCGCGAAAGCUAGGGGAGCAAACGGG
rnacentral:rRNA from 1 species